UCCAAGCUCCUCCCCAGGUUGGCUGCAAGGCUUAGGAUAAACAAGGUGUCCUCCCUUGGCCUGGGUUGCUCGGAUCCCCAGUGGAAAGGUGUGGAUCUGUUUCAGUUUAUCCUACUUAGAGAUUGUUGAGCUUCUUGGAUGUUGAGCUUCUUGGACAUGAAGAUUAAUGUUUUUCAUCAAAUUCCUAGUAAGCCCUGAUAAACUGACUCAUACAAGAUGGGAAUGCCUACCAUGAAAUGCUGAGAUGGGAUAUGACAGUGACAACAAAGGCUGCUGCUGUAAUGUGAUCUCUCCAGAUGGGUUCUUUCAUCUUAGGUAAAAAGGUAUUGGUUUUGAAAAUGCUCCCAAGGAAAGCUGCAUACAAAUAUCCAUCUCAGAGUCUAAUUCCAAGGAACCCAGUCCAGAUGGCUGCCUUCCAGAGUCUGGGUUCUCUGCCACUGUUUGAUAUUGGUCAGUCCCUGGACUGUGAGCUCCCUGAGGACACACAGUGCUACAUCAAGUUACUUGGAGCCCUAGGACAACUUCCAUCUCAAGUGAUCCUCUUCCAUAUCAGGGAAUCAUCAAAUGCUUGCUGAAUAAAUUGCCACCCUCUUUGGACUUUGAAAAACGAAAUCUUAUUGUGAAUAUGGUUACAUUAUGAGGUGCUGUGAAUUAAGUCUUCAACACAUGAAUUUUUGGGGAACACAAUUCAGCCU
rnacentral:lncRNA from 1 species